UUGGGUAGUAUUUUUAUUUUUGGAUUUUUUGCUUGAAAUAAGUUGUUUAAGA
rnacentral:tRNA from 1 species